rnacentral:rRNA from 1 species
CAUGCGUCGCAUUAGCUAGUUGGCGGGGUAACGGCCCACCAAGGCGACGAUGCGUAGGGGUUCUGAGAGGAAGGUCCCCCACACUGGUACUGAGACACGGACCAGACUCCUACGGGAGGCAGCAGUGAGGAAUAUUGGUCAAUGGCCGCAGGGCUGAACCAGCCAAGUCGCGUGAGGGAUGACGGUCCUAUGGAUUGUAAACCUCUUUUGUCAGGGAGCAAAGGACGCCACGUGUGGCGUUUUGCGAGUACCUGAAGAAAAAGCAUCGGCUAACUCCGUGCCAGCAGCCGCGGUAAUACGGAGGACGCGAGCGUUAUCCGGAUUUAUUGGGUUUAAAGGGUGCGCAGGCGGAAUGUCAAGUCAGCGGUAAAAUUUCGGGGCUCAACCCCGUCGUGCCGUUGAAACUGGCGUUCUUGAGUGAGCGAGAAGUAUGCGGAAUGCGUGGUGUAGCGGUGAAAUGCAUAGAUAUCACGCAGAACUCCGAUUGCGAAGGCAGCAUACCGGCGCUCAACUGACGCUCAUGCACGAAAGCGUGGGUAUCGAACAGGAUUAGAUACCCUGGUAGUCCACGCAGUAAACGAUGAAUACUAACUGUCCGGGCCGAUUGAGGUCUGG